rnacentral:rRNA from 1 species
GCUUAACGCGAAGAACCUUACCAGGUCUUGACAUCCCCUGACCGGUCUAGAGAUAGGCCUUCCCUUCGGGGCAGGGGAGACAGGUGGUGCAUGGUUGUCGUCAGCUCGUGUCGUGAGAUGUUGGGUUAAGUCCCGCAACGAGCGCAACCCUUGAUCUUAGUUGCCAGCACUUUGGGUGGGCACUCUAAGAUGACUGCCGGUGACAAACCGGAGGAAGGCGGGGAUGACGUCAAAUCAUCAUGCCCCUUAUGACCUGGGCUACACACGUACUACAAUGGCCGGUACAAAGGGCUGCGAAGCCGCGAGGCGGAGCCAAUCCCAGCAAAGCCGGUCUCAGUUCGGAUUGCAGGCUGCAACUCGCCUGCAUGAAGUCGGAAUUGCUAGUAAUCGCGGAUCAGCAUGCCGCGGUGAAUACGUUCCCCGGGUCUUGUACAC